CCUACGGGAGGCAGCAGUGGGGAAUAUUGCACAAUGGGGGAAACCCUGAUGCAGCAACGCCGCGUGAGUGAAGAAGUAUUUCGGUAUGUAAAGCUCUAUCAGCAGGGAAGAGAAUGACGGUACCUGACUAAGAAGCCCCGGCUAACUACGUGCCAGCAGCCGCGGUAAUACGUAGGGGGCGAGCGUUAUCCGGAUUUACUGGGUGUAAAGGGAGCGUAGACGGUUCUGCAAGUCUGAAGUGAAAGCCCGUGGCUUAACCGCGGAACGGCUUUGGAAACUGUGGAACUGGAGUGCUGGAGAGGCGAGCGGAAUUCCUAGUGUAGCGGUGAAAUGCGUAGAUAUUAGGAGGAACACCAGUGGCGAAGGCGGCUUACUGGACUGUAACUGACGUUGAGGCUCGAAAGCGUGGGGGGCAAACAGGAUUAGAUACCCGAGUAGUC
rnacentral:rRNA from 1 species